UUGUGGCUACAGAAGCAGGUCAGAGGCUAGGAGUCCUGUAGUAAGUAAUUCACAUCCUAAUUGUCCAAACUUUGUCCACCAUCUAUAAAGCACAAGUUAUGAGUCUGUUACAAUGCUCCCCACUUUCCUGGAUCACUGCAGCUUCAAUAAAUCUCAAGAAGCAUGAUACAAUCCAGGUGAAAGUAGCCCCCUUGAUUGGUACAACAUCCAAAAACAGGCUGCACCACACUCUAGCAGGAGAGAGUACUAUCUAUAAAAUGCACUGUAGAAAUUCACUUCAGCUCCUUAGAAAACACCUUUCAAACCCAUGACCAACCUCUCACCUCUACCCUUGAAUUUUAAAGAUGUUAUCAACACCAAAUCUCCUACUAUCAACAUGCUGGAAGUUGCCAUUAACCAGAAUCUCAACUGGACUCGCCAUAUAAAUACGGUGGCUACAAGAGCAGUUCAGAGGCUAGGAAUACUGAGAACCAUCUGGGAAGAAAUAGCAUGCCACAGAAGAACCAUGCACCUGGACUUCUGAGGCCAACAAUACUAAGGGCACAGAGGAAGUAUCAGCAAAGUUGCCUCCUGAAUUGAAUUGAAUUGGCUUUAUUGUCACAUGUACUCAAACAAGUACAGUGAAAAAUUUACAAGUCACCACCUUACGGCACCAUCUUAGGUGCAAAGGUGCCAGCAAUACUCAAGUGCUGUACUAUCAAUCUACAAAUUGAUUUAAUUAACACUCUUAGAGAGAAGAAAGGAUGAACACGUUUAUGGAUAGAUUUGAAGAUUAUAAUGAUAAACAUACAUAGAAUACUGAUUUCAGGCCUUUCGGGACCGUGAAAGUAGCCUCUACGCAAUGCAUCAAAUCAACACUGAAAAACAUAGCCUCAGCGCAGACACAGCGAGGUGUUCUCUAGGUCCAGUGUGGGAGCUUUUUCGCAGCCUGUGGUAGUCUUCCGCACCAGAGAGGGAGUUUAUCGGCCACCUAUGACCGUGGUUCAGUGGCCUGGAGUGGUUUCUCAGCCAGCGUCUGAGGCGGCUGACAGUAAGAGUAGGGCCCAGUACAUUCCCGGUGAUCACAGACUUACAAGCGGGUGCUGCCUGGGAUGUUCCAGAGGUAACAGGAGGAGAUCGCGGAGGUGACAACUUCAGUGUCAGCAGCAGUGGCAAUGGCAUCAUGUCCCGAUGCAGGAAGAGUAAGCAGUAUCUGCAGCAGCGGAGAGAACAGGCAGCUGGUGUCUCACGGAGACAGAGCUAAGCGAAAGAGAUUGGGGCCCCAGCAAGCACUCAUCAAAGACUCUUGAACUUUUGACUGUCUUCCUUUAUUUUUCUGGAUUAUAUUAAGAAGGACUUUAACGUUAACUAUUUCCUUAUUUCUUUAUUUUUCCACUUAUUCUAUGAAAGCCUGUAAUGCUUAACUUUUUAUCUUUGCUUGUUUUACUACCUUGUACCUGAGCUUUUGUAUCUAGGUACCUUUGUACCUAAGAUAGCAGUGUCUGUGGCGACAUUAGACACUUAUCACUGUACUCCCCUGCACUUCUGUACUUGAGUACACGUAACAGUAAAAUCUAAAUCUAAAUCUUAAAUGCAUUAUUUCAAGAAGACCCUGUCAUCUCAUGCCGAAGGGUGCAAAUAUCACCAUACUUAAACACAAAUAGUAUCAAUUUAGUUUGAAAUCAGUAUCAAGUUAACACUAUUGAGAUGGUUACAAAACUGUAAGAAGUAUAUUUUACAGCUUAUGUACGUGUCACAGAGAUUUGCAUAUCACAACUGCAGAUCAGGAAUCUCGUUUGCAUAAG